CUUAAAUCUGAAAAUGUUGUGUGGGAUUUCCUCUCAGCAACUUUAGCUUCUGCGGUUCGGGGUUGCCGCCAACACUCAGGCAGCGGCUCGCCCAACCCCCCUUCCGCAGAUCUGCAGGAGGGGGGAACCCUGAACCCGCACCGCGAAUCUCCCACAUAGCAGCCGGCUUGCAGGAUAAGCUGGAGCGGCGCUAUCUGCUGCCGGCCUUGGGUGCCUACAAUGCCGUAUAAAUUUAAACGAUCGAGGUGUUGAAUAGGUUCUCAGAAGAAAGCAAACAUGGAACAGGGGAACUGCAGAGACCUGUUUCCUGAUUCCCGAAGACAAAGAGCUCUCUGUGGUGGAAGGAAGGAAGGAAUGUCAAGGCAGAUGAACCCAAAGGUCUUUUGGAGGAGGGGUGUGGGAGUCUGGAGGCGAGGAGAUGGAGGUGGGCGUCUAGAGCUGGGGCUGGAGGCUGUUUGAUCAGCCAGGAUUUUUAAUUGGCUUUUGGCUUCCUGGGUGCGGCCAGACUGCAGCCUGCCCCAGAGAGGCCCCAUGAGAGCCAGACCGCACCCCUCCCUCGCCCCGCCUCGUCCACCUCCCGAUGUCAACUGUUAGCAGACAUGUAUAACAAAAUAUGUACAUACACACACCAGAGCGCUGAGUAUACAGGAGUAAACACACACACAGAGUAUCAGAGUAAGUCAGUCACUGCCUCCAUUCUCUGGCUCUUCAGUUCAGUGCAUGUGCUGAGAUCUGGCUUAAGACAACUUCCCAUCAAAACAGUGAAAUAUGGAAAAACAGGCAUCUCAACAUAAAAAAUUAAAGAACAUAAAAAUGGAACUGCUGAGAUGAUCCUGCUCUCUUUGUGUGUUCUGUGUUUCCCCCUAGUGGUGCAGUAGCAAACCACAAAGGCUAGC